rnacentral:rRNA from 1 species
CGAAUGCUGACAUAAGUAACGAUAAAGCGGGUGAAAAGCCCGCUCGCCGGAAGACCAAGGGUUCCUGUCCAACGUUAAUCGGGGCAGGGUGAGUCGACCCCUAAGGCGAGGCCGAAAGGCGUAGUCGAUGGGAAACAGGUUAAUAUUCCUGUACUUGGUGUUACUGCGAAGGGGGGACGGAGAAGGCUAUGUUGGCCGGGCGACGGUUGUCCCGGUUUAAGCGUGUAGGCUGGUUUUCCAGGCAAAUCCGGAAAAUCAAGGCUGAGGCGUGAUGACGAGGCACUACGGUGCUGAAGCAACAAAUGCCCUGCUUCCAGGAAAAGCCUCUAAGCAUCAGGUAACAUCAAAUCGUACCCCAAACCGACACAGGUGGUCAGGUAGAGAAUACCAAGGCGCUUGAGAGAACUCGGGUGAAGGAACUAGGCAAAAUGGUGCCGUAACUUCGGGAGAAGGCACGCUGAUAUGUAGGUGAAGUCCCUUGCGGAUGGAGCUGAAAUCAGUCGAAGAUACCAGCUGGCUGCAACUGUUUAUUAAAAACACAGCACUGUGCAAACACGAAAGUGGACGUAUACGGUGUGACGCCUGCCCGGUGCCGGAAGGUUAAUUGAUGGGGUUAGCGGUAACGCGAAGCUCUUGAUCGAAGCCCCGGUAAACGGCGGCCGUAACUAUAACGGUCCUAAGGUAGCGAAAUUCCUUGUCGGGUAAGUUCCGACCUGCACGAAUGGCGUAAUGAUGGCCAGGCUGUCUCCACCCGAGACUCAGUGAAAUUGAACUCGCUGUGAAGAUGCAGUGUACCCGCGGCAAGACGGAAAGACCCCGUGAACCUUUACUAUAGCUUGACACUGAACAUUGAGCCUUGAUGUGUAGGAUAGGUGGGAGGCUUUGAAGUGUGGACGCCAGUCUGCAUGGAGCCGACCUUGAAAUACCACCCUUUAAUGUUUGAUGUUCUAACGUUGGCCCCUGAUCGGGGUUGCGGACAGUGUCUGGUGGGUAGUUUGACUGGGGCGGUCUCCUCCUAAAGAGUAACGGAGGAGCACGAAGGUUGGCUAAUCCUGGUCGGACAUCAGGAGGUUAGUGCAAUGGCAUAAGCCAGCUUGACUGCGAGCGUGACGGCGCGAGCAGGUGCGAAAGCAGGUCAUAGUGAUCCGGUGGUUCUGAAUGGAAGGGCCAUCGCUCAACGGAUAAAAGGUACUCCGGGGAUAACAGGCUGAUACCGCCCAAGAGUUCAUAUCGACGGCGGUGUUUGGCACCUCGAUGUCGGCUCAUCACAUCCUGGGGCUGAAGUAGGUCCCAAGGGUAUGGCUGUUCGCCAUUUAAAGUGGUACGCGAGCUGGGUUUAGAACGUCGUGAGACAGUUCGGUCCCUAUCUGCCGUGGGCGCUGGAGAACUGAGGGGGGCUGCUCCUAGUACGAGAGGACCGGAGUGGACGCAUCACUGGUGUUCGGGUUGUCAUGCCAAUGGCACUGCCCGGUAGCUAAAUGCGGAAGAGAUAAGUGCUGAAAGCAUCUAAGCACGAAACUUGCCCCGAGAUGAGUUCUCCCUGACUCCUUGAGAGUCCUGAAGGAACGUUGAAGACGACGACGUUGAUAGGCCGGGUGUGUAAGCGCAGCGAUGCGUUGAGCUAACCGGUACUAAUGAACCGUGAG